rnacentral:misc_RNA from 1 species
AGAGCUUCGUCUUUCUUUAACGAAUUCCGAUGAGUUGAAAGAGCAUAGAAUUUGGAGGUUGCGACUAUUUACCUAGUUCCUUGACCUAUUUUCUCAUUGUAUAUGCCUAAUUUAAUUGCCUUCCGAUCAGUAGUUUAUGUGGUCCAGGAAGUAUUGCUUUCAAGUAGGAUGGAACUGAUUUUAUUGUUAAAUUUUGAUUUUGGCUUCCCCCAUAAAUAUUUUGUCCUUUCUUCAAAUAUUAGAAAUUAUUUGGCUUGAUCUUCCAGUAGUUUUGUUUGUGCUUAGUUCCCUGGAAAUUUUACUUUAGAUCAAUUGGCUCUUAAUAUGGAGGGAUUAAUGUGUGUUGUGCGUGGCAGCAGUUGUUGUAGAAUGUGUCGCAUUCUCCUCCUUAUCGUAGCAUAAAUGUUGAGAUAAUUUUGUUAGCUUUGCGAAAACUAAUACUUUCUGGUUGUCUGUGCUAUAUGCAAGUUGGCCCACUAGGGAGAUACAAAAUAUAAUUCUAUUUAUGAAUACAUUAAAUGGUUUACUAGAAUCAAAAUAAAUAUAUUGAUAGUUAUUUGCUUGACGCAGUCUGUUGCAUUGUGGUGUGACUA